rnacentral:lncRNA from 1 species
CUAGGUUUUCUUCUAGGGUUUUUAUGGUUUUAGGUCUUACAUUUAAGUCUUUAAUCCGUCUUGAGUUAAUUUUUGUAUAAGGUGUAAGGAAGGGGUCCAGUUUCAGUUUUCUGCAUAUGGCUAGUCAGUUUUCCCAAUGCCAUUUAUCUAAUAGAGAAUCCUUUCCCCGUUGCUUCUUUUUGUCAGGUUUGUCAAAGAUCAGAUGGUUAUAGAUGUGUGGUGUUAUUUCUGAGGCCUCUGUUCUGUCCCAUUGGUCUAUGUAUUUGUUUUGGUAACAGUACCAUGCUGUUUUGGUUACUGUAGCCUUGUAGUAUAGUUUGAAGUCAGGUAACAUGAUGCCUCCAGCUUUGUUCUUUUUGUUUAGGAUUGUCUUGGCUAUGCAGGCUCUUUUUUGGUUCCAUAUGAACUUUAAAUUAGUUUCUUCCAAUUUAGUGAAGAAAGUCAAUGGUAGCUUGAUGGGGGAGGGCAGUGAAUCUGUAAAUUACUUU